GACGAACGCUGGCGGCGUGCCUAAUACAUGCAAGUAGAACGCACAGUUUAUACCGUAGCUUGCUCCACCAUAGACUGUGAGUUGCGAACGGGUGAGUAACGCGUAGGUAACCUGCCUGGUAGCGGGGGAUAACUAUUGGAAACGAUAGCUAAUACCGCAUAAUAUUAAUUAUUGCAUGAUAAUUAAUUGAAAGGUGCAAUUGCACCACUACCAGAUGGACCUGCGUUGUAUUAGCUAGUAGGUGAGGUAACGGCUCACCUAGGCGACGAUACAUAGCCGACCUGAGAGGGUGAGCGGCCACACUGGGACUGAGACACGGCCCAGACUCCUACGGGAGGCAGCAGUAGGGAAUCUUCGGCAAUGGACGAAAGUCUGACCGAGCAACGCCGCGUGAGUGAAGAAGGUUUUCGGAUCGUAAAGCUCUGUUGUAAGAGAAGAACGGGUGUGAGAGUGGAAAGUUCACACUGUGACGGUAUCUUACCAGAAAGGGACGGCUAACUACGUG
rnacentral:rRNA from 1 species